CCUACGGGUGGCUGCAGUGGGGAAUAUUGGACAAUGGGCGAAAGCCUGAUCCAGCCAUGCCGCGUGUGUGAAGAAGGCCUUCGGGUUGUAAAGCACUUUCAGUGGGGAAGAAAGCCUUGGGGCUAAUACCCUCGAGGAAGGACAUCACCCACAGAAGAAGCACCGGCUAACUCCGUGCCAGCAGCCGCGGUAAUACGGAGGGUGCGAGCGUUAAUCGGAAUUACUGGGCGUAAAGCGCGCGUAGGCGGUCUGAUAAGCCGGUUGUGAAAGCCCCGGGCUCAACCUGGGAACGGCAUCCGGAACUGUCAGGCUAGAGUGCAGGAGAGGAAGGUAGAAUUCCCGGUGUAGCGGUGAAUUGCGUAGAGAUCGGGAGGAAUACCAGUGGCGAAGGCGGCCUUCUGGACUGACACUGACGCUGAGGUGCGAAAGCGUGGGUAGCAAACAGGAUUAGAUACCCGUGUAGUC
rnacentral:rRNA from 1 species